rnacentral:lncRNA from 1 species
AGGAGCUCUGAUUUGUUCACAUUCCCAUCUCUAAGUUGCCUCUUCCCAAAUAUGGGAGAAGUGGCCGCCCUCCUCCAACUGUCUGCGGUUUGACCUGUUUUUCUACCAAUUGUUUUCAGUUUGUCAUCUGGACUCCAAGCUGCGGGUAGCUCUGUAUUUCCAGGCCUUCUGUCCCUCCCAGGUAUCCCUGGGUUUUCCCAGACUCCUCCACAGUCUUCCCUCCAAGAAUUACAGCACAGUGCGGCUGCCCAGUCAGCGUUGUUGCAGCAGGUCCACUCAGCAUCGGCUCUGGAGAACUAUCCUGCCCAGACAGACGGGUUCCCUAGCUACCCCUCCACACCAGGAACACCAUUUUCUCUGCAAACAGGCCUAUCCCAAAGUGGAUGGCAAUGAGUUUUAAAGGUGUUUAUUCUUCUUGGGAGCAACAUGAGAUUUACCCAAGAUCUGCAAUGAACAAUCUGCCAGAUGAAUUGGCCAAUAAUUUGAAAGUAAGAGUUCCUUAGGGAACAGAGCUUAAAAGUUCAGGUUGUGUUUUUAAUGUGGUUGUAUCAGAACCCUUAAUCUUACCUAUGUAAAUAAGAUGACAAUAAAUUGUAAUGAGAAUAGUAUUUUAAACAUACUUGGGGACUUAUUACCUCCCUUCCUAUAAGCUUUGAAUUAUGUGAGUGAUCCACAUAGACUAUUGAAGAGGAGACUGAAGUCUUUAUAGCCAAAUACAGCCUUAAGUCUGCUUGUGUCACCUCCACGGAC